UACGUAGGGGGCUGGCGUUGUCCGGAUUUAUUGGGCGUAAAGAGCGUGUAGGCGGCCAGGUAGGUCUGCUGUGAAAACUCGAGGCUCAACCUCGAGACGUCGGCGGAAACCAUCUGGCUAGAGUCCGGAAGAGGAGAGUGGAAUUCCUGGUGUAGCGGUGAAAUGCGCAGAUAUCAGGAAGAACACCCGUGGCGAAGGCGGCUCUCUGGGACGGUACUGACGCUGAGACGCGAAAGCGUGGGGAGC
rnacentral:rRNA from 1 species